rnacentral:rRNA from 1 species
AUUGAACGCUGGCGGCAGGCCUAACACAUGCAAGUCGAGCGGAGCGGCGGACGGGUGAGUGAUACCUAGGAAUCUGCCUGCUAGUGGGGGAUAACGUUCGGAAACGGACGCUAAUACCUCAUACUUUCAGUUGAGCCUGGGUCGGAUUAGCUAGUUGGUGAGGUAAUGGCUCACCUAGGCGACGAUCCGUACCUGGUCUGAGAGGAUGAUCAGUCACACUGGAACUGAGACACGGUCCAGACUCCUACGGGAGGCAGCAGUGGGGAAUAUUGGACAAUGGGCGAAAGCCUGAUCCAGCCAUGCCGCGUGUGUGAAGAAGGUCUUCGGAUUGUAAAGCACUUUAAGUUGGGAGGCGUUACCGACAGAAUAAGCACCGGCUAACUCUGUGCCAGCAGCCGCGGUAAUUC